GCGCCGUUCGCUCAAUUGGCAGAGCAGGGGCUUUUUUUAAACAGGUUCGAUUCCUUUGCGGCGCA
rnacentral:tRNA from 1 species